rnacentral:lncRNA from 1 species
UAGAGUACUAGACUCGUUGGCUCAGCUGCUCCAAACAGUGUGUGGAAUUGGAGUGCAGUGUGACUGGUUUCUAAGACAUUUGGUUAGCUGAUCUCAUGUGUUGGUGCUUUGCUCAGGUGCAUUUCUUGUGCGUCUUAUGUUUAUGUUAGAUGUGUGUACUGAUGUCACAAGAAGGUUUGGAAGCUACGUGUUGUUGCUUACAGUUUCUCCAUGGCUUCUGUUCCUACUUAGUCUGUGAGCUUGUAUCGUUGUUCAGUCUAAGAGUUUGUUUGUAUCUGUCUUAUUCUACAGUCAAUUUUUUCAUCAUUCCAGUUUCUUGUUAUUCAGUUGUGAGCUUGCAUUGCGACGGCCUUAUUCUCAGUAUUUCCACACAUCAUAUUUUUCCUUUACGUGGGAUUGAGUACAUGUAGAUAUGGUCAUUCAGUUUCAUUCAGUCUAGUACCUCAGUUUCUUAGUUCCGCAUUAUAUUUCAGUUGAGCACUUCACCGGUUUCUUUAAAAUUUUGCCCAUGGAGCCUUGCAGCGCUCAUUCAUAUUGUGGCAACGAUUAUGAAGGCAGUGCCCAUGGAGCCUGUUGAUUAUUAUGUCCUCCAAACACAACAAAACACACGAUUGACUUCUAGCGAAGUAAAUCCCUUUUGAAAAUCACCAUGGUGGUGUUGGUGCUCAGCGUAUCAGCAUAGCCCAGAGCGCAUUUCAAUGCAUUCUGAACCACACUGUUUACCAAAACGAAUGAAGAGCAAUUGUGUCGAGGAAAAACCCUUGCCCUGCUAGUGCCUAGUUGACGGCAUUUUCCAAGACAAGGAAAACAUUGCGUGCCAUUACAUUUUUUUUCCAGAAAAUGGAAAUGGCGCAGAGCUUUCUAGGUUUCAUGUAGCUGACUCAAGCAUUUAAGCAAACAGCAACAGAAGUACGCCUAUAUGCUAAACAGCAAUACAGUUCGUGCUCUGACGUUGUCAGGACGAAUUCGACAUGAGAACCACAGUCAACAAACAUGGUAGCUUGCACGAUUCACGCUUAAACUGCAUAACAAUUGACUUCCACCCUUCAUGCUUAAACUCCUCAACAGAAACAAAACACAACCUGGUAUUAGUAGCUUGGAAGAAGCCGACGGCAGCAGACUAAAGAUGAUGGGUUUGCCCAUUUGCAAUUCAUCACUAUUGAGCGGCACAUCAGAGAUCAGUGGGUCUUCGAUAGCGCCAACAAUAUGCCACGAUCUGAAAAAAAACACCAAGCAGAAAACUCGUAACCAACUGUACAUCUCAGAAUUUGUAAUUUGAUGUGCGGCUGUAUGUACAACUAGUUCCAGAGGUUACAAGACUGCAUUGGACAUGUGAGCUUCAGCUAUACCAGAAAGUAAUUUAAUGCAUCUUAACGAAAAAUGUGAAGCAAUGUAAAGUGAUAAUGCAAUACCAACAAGGCUGAAUAAAUAUUAGCAAUCUCUUUUUUAACCAAGGUUGACUAAAUACUUAGCAAUCUCUAUUUGAACCAAGGAUGCACUUCAUGCUUCACCAACUAUUUGACCAAUCAACAGCAGUAGCAAAAAAGAGACAUUUUAUUCCAGGGGUAAUGUUGCAUGUAAUAGCACAGAAGAAUACCGGACCCGAGUCCACAAUUUGAAAAUGGCUACAGAAACAAGAGGUGACUUAUUUUAUGACAGGACAUCCCAACAUCAAUUUCCAAGUUUUUAGUAAAAGUGAAAAACAUCCGAGUUCCACACCUGUUAGAAUCUAUUUACAAAUGCUAAACGCUUUGUGGUGAAACUAAGUUCCUUGCCCACCAAUUGUUUUUCCAAGAAGUCUGGUACUGCUACCUUUGAAAGACAAGAUCAACAUUAUACUAAAAUUUCAUGAAAGGGAGACGACAUAGAUUACACAUAAUUUCUCUGUUCCAAGUAGCUGAGGCAGGAAUUAGGCAAACAGUAGAUGAAAUAUGCCUCACGUAUUAAUCUGAAAUACAACCUUUUGACAUUAUGACGAGGACGAAUUCAACAAGACAACAUCAAUUAAUUGUAAGGACUUGCACAAUUUGUAAGUAAACUGCUGAACAGAGAAUAAACGACUUCACACUUAAUAGUAGCAGCUCUGAAAGAAACCAGCAGCACACUUUGAUCAGUUAAUCCGUAUUAACGAUAACAAUGUGCCAUGAUAUAAAAUAUAUCAUGUACAAAACUCAUAACAAACUCCAAGUCAGCAUUUUACUUUGGUGAGCUAUAUGCUAGCACCAGUUCCAAUGGUUACAACACUGGGUUUGAGAUGUGACCUUCAGCUAUGCCACAAAAUAAGAGAUGGUUAUUUAUAAGAAAGUCUGACGGAAGGUAACAGGAUAGUACGAGACCAACAUGUUUGUGAAUUGUGUACAUAUUUAGCAAUUCGACCAAUGCAUGGUCAUGGUCCUUCACAUGUCAAAAUCUCAUAUCAUAAACCACAUUAUGUUUUCCAGCGUCAUAUAUUAAGUUUUCUCUAUCACAGAGAAUUGUCCUUGGCAAGAUUCAUAUGUGAAUAUACAUAUAACAAACAUAUAUUACUUUCAUUACGACUAAUUAUUCACAAACCACAACCAGCUAAAUAAGCAAACAUACAGAAGCCGUAACGAAAAUGCAAGACAAUAGACAAGAAGCAAGGUCUAGCAGCAAUACCUGGAGUGUAGAAGCUCAUGUAGGGCAGGACGCUAAAGUAGUGUGCGGGCUCGUCAACCUUCCUGACUCGCCCUGACUUGAGCUCUAGAGUGAAUAAGCCAGCAUCUGUGUUGAUGAAGAUGACACCCACACCCUCUGCGGAACCAACCACAAAUGGUUGGUAAUCUGGAUCCACGACGGGCACAAUUGUCUCCAGCUCGAUGCUCCUGCAUUUUACCCAUUCAGCAGCUGCUUCUGAAUUCACCUUCCUUGACCACAGAUAAAGAGUAGAACUCUCAGUGCAGGCAAACCCCAGCGAACUGUCCUCCAUCACCAUGAGAGCAAUUGGGCUCCUAGUGUGUGGCGGCGGGUUAAUCAUGGAUAGGCAGUUGUUUGGCAGGUUGUACUUGACGAUUUUGUGAGCGGACCGAAGUGUGAAGUAGACUUCAUCUCCAAUGACAGCUAUUCGCCGGGGCAUGACAUAGGGCAGGUGGUAGAGGUUUUCUGCAAUGUCGUCUCGCAUGUGCUGGGCGUAGCACUCGCAGGUCGCAGCCAUCGUCAAGAGACACUGGCGCACUCCACUCGCCUGUCACCGACGAGUACACGCUCGCCUUAACCUGGCGGCCGGCGUCGUCGGUGGCCAGGAAGGCCACGCGGAAGGGGCCGCCUUGGCAGUCGAGAUGCUGGCAGCCAUCGGCGGCGCAGAAGACCGCGGCGGUGCAGAUGAGCCAGACGAUGCCCGGCGCAGGUAGGACGUGCCGGUCGCCCGUGACGGGGUCCGAGACGACGAAGACCAGGCCCUCGUCCUGCACCAUGUGGAUGAGCACGCGGCCGUGGCGGCAGUCGAGGGGGACGGGGUGCUUGCCCUGGCCGUCGGAGCCCGGGUAGGGGAAGUCCGGCAUCGACGUGGUGGAGGUGAAGCGGGGCGCGGGCCUUUCUUGGAGGACCUGGAACCUCUGGAGGAGGCCGAGGAGGGGAGGGGCUCCGUGGAAGGCGCGGUAGCGGCGGCGGAAGGAGGGGUCGCAGACGACGCGGAGCCACGACUUGCAGACGAGGGCGGCGCGGAAGAGGUGCUCGGGCUCGGAAGGAGGAAGGAGGUGGAGGACCUCGCCGACGAGCUCGUCCAUCAGCUCCGGCCGUGGGGCCAUGGUGCGGUCGCCGGAAUGGGUGGGGGCCGCCGCCGGGUCGGUGGGUCGGGGAGGAGGCGAAGACGCGAGUGAGACGGCCCAUUCUACUUGGUUCGGCUCUGUGGCCUCGCUCAAUAGAAAAUCAUGAGACUUCCUAGUCUGCGGGACCUCCAAUACCCCUAUUUGCCGCACGAUGCAGAAAAUUGUCGGGGCUUCGCACAGGGCGCCCGCGACUGGGCCGACCCAUUUGAUUUUUAUUUUUUCUGUUUCUUUUAUUUUUCCUUUUUAAUUUUUUUCAAGUUUACUUUUCCUUUUCAAAAAAUGUUCAUAGAUAUAAAAAAUAUUUUUAAUUUUUUAGAUUUGAUAAAAUUUCCAAAAAAUGUUCUUGUUUUCAACUUUUGUUUAGAAUUUUCGAUAUUUUUUCAGAAAUUCAAAACCUAUUUGCUUACUUUAAAAAAUGUUCGAUAUUAAAAAAAGAAUUUCAAAAAGUGUUUGCAUUUUAUUUUAUUUUUGUAAAUUCAAAAAAGUGUUCUCAUUUUUGAAAUUUACCUACAAAUUCAGAAAACGGUCACGUUUUCACAAAAAAUCGGAAAUUCAUAAAUUGUUUGGGGAAUUCCAGAAAAUAUCCGUGUUUUCAAAAUAUUGUUCGUAAUUUCAAUUGUUUUUCCUAUUUUUUAUUUUUUAGUUUCUUUUAAAGAAAUCACAAAUUUUAAAAUGUUUAGCUUUCAAAAAUAUUUUUGUUUUAAGAAAAUCACAUUUAAAAUUGCAAGGAAAUGUUUAUAUCUGUCACAACUUGUAGUUCAUAUACACCGCGCUACCUAUAUCGACACCAAAGCUCAGGAACAUCCAAUGGCAAGCGACGAGGUUCACCACCGGGAGGUGCUAGGUUCGAUCCGAGGUCCCGGGCUUUCCCCGCCUUAAUCCAAACCAAAUAGCUAAAUUUCAAUCCACGUGCAACAGUCUGCCUAGGAUGGCCCGGGUGGCUCGGGCUAAUCCACAUGGAUUAAUCCUUGACUAAACAAGGCCCUAAGGACCCUAAACCCGAACCCAGAUGCAUCGGGCUCGCGCAGAGCUGGCCAAAUGGGCCAGCACGACACGACACUCCCUGGGCCGUGCUAAUCGUGCCUGGCAUGACACGGCCCACACAUGCACGUUUACUACAUAGGUCGUGUCGUGCCGACCCGCGUGCCUUGCUCCCUGGCACAACACAUUUAGUAAAUGGGUUGGCCUUGGCGCAACACAUUUAGUAAAUGGGCUGCCGGCCGUGGCAUGUCUGGGCCGCAUGCUGUUUAGCCUGUUGUGCUAUAUUUUUAGGUUUAUUGGGUUGUUUUAGGUCAUAUAUAAUAAUAAUAAUAAUAAUAAUAACAGGUCGUGCCAUGCCGAGCCCGUAUGCCUCGCUUCCAGGCCCAGGCACGACCCCUAGCGUGCCGCUUGCUGGACACGACAGAAAUCACUAAUUAGGGAACACUCUUUGCAAAGUUUAUUCCCAACUUCCCAGGUGUGUCACUUGUCGUAACCUGUAAUUUUUUUUUUUCGUAGAUCUGUUUAUUCAAAAGUUUUAUCUCUUAAACCGUGAGUUCAAAUCUUGAACCGUUUUCACCGUUGGAUUCCCCGUGUCGAGCUCUACAAAAUUAGAUUCCAUCUUGCUAGGUUUAUAUAAUGAUCUAUGUAGACCGUUGUCACCUUCCGUAUAGUACAUAGUACAUGUAUAGUACUAGAUGACAACAGUCUACAUCGAUUUUGGGAGCGGAAGGUGAUAACAGUCUACAUGGAUUCCAGUAGCGACGAUGAGGAGUCCGAGGAUGAAGAUGCAUCGGAGCCGAGCGAAUCUGACUACUCCGGUGAGGACUAGAGUACUAGACUCCUUAGCUCAGCUGCCCAAACAGUGUGUGGAAUUGGAGUGCAGUGUGACUAGUUUAAGACAUUUGGUUAGCUAAUCUGAUGUGUUGGUGCUUUGCUCAGGUGCAUUUCUUGUGCGUCCUAUGUUUAUGUUAGGUGUGUGUACUGAGAUCACAAGAAGGUUUGGAAGCUAUGUGUUGUUUGCUUACAGUUUCUCCAUGGCUUCUGUUCCUACUUAGUCUGUGAGCUUGUAUCGUUGUUCAGUCUAUCAAUACCGAGAGUUUAUUUAUAUUUGUCUUAUUUUACAGUCAAUUUUUUCAUUAUUCAGUUUCUUUUUAUUCAGUUGUGAGCUUGCAUGGUGACGGCCUUAUUCUCAGUAUUUUCACAUAUAUCAUAUUUGAGUAUAUAUAGCUAUGGUCAUUCAGUUUCACUCAGUCUAGUACCUUAUUUUUCUUCACUUUUCAGUUUCCAAUCUAGUGCGGCAAUGAUUAUGAAGGCAGUCUAUCCUUCAUUUUGGAAUUGACAAACAAAGCAGCGAACCCAGAGUUAGGGCACUCUUUUCUUUUGCAAUGUUGAUUUUUCAUUUUGGUAGAUGAUGAUUUUCAUUUGCACGGUUGGUUUUGCGUCGACAGUAAAUUUGAAGUGCAACCAAGCAGUAAAUCAGUCACCUACUCACCUCGGCCGAUUUUGUACACGAUGAAAGGAGACUAUCCUUUGCUUUCUAUCCUAAAUAUAAGUAUUUUUAGAGAUUUUAAUAUAAACUACAUACAGAGCAAAAUUAGUGAAUCUACACUCUAAACUAUGUCUAUAUACUACAUGUAUCCAUUGAAAUCUCUAAAAAGACUUAUAUUUAGAAACAUAUGAAGUAUAAAGCAGGGCAAGAUAAUUAGCAGACCUUUUUGACUAGGGCAGGAAAGAGAAGUGCGGGCGCAACAGAAGUCUGACAAUAGCCAUUUCAUGAUAGAACGCGGAAUCCUCUUCCAAAUAAUCAAGUGGGAAUAAAUGAAAUGGUAAAAAGUGAUUAGCUGUUGUAAUCUUGUUGGGCGUUGCCAACUAGACGUGGUUCAAACAUUGUAUAAUUAAACCAUUAUGCGCCAAACAACUCUACUCUCUAUCGUCUCCGACAGCAACCCGACACGAUGUACGAACGAAAAAACACUUUCAGAACAUAGUUAAAACACAAGCUAGCACAAAUAAAAUCAAAACAAAACAAUCAAUCGUAAAUAAUCUACUUGAUUCAAAAGAGUUAAUCUCACCGGUGCUGUUAGCCUCUCUAGUCUCUAUCAUGUGUACUGUAGUCCUUCCCUGAAACAUUCUUCAUUUCAAGAAAGACGCGAAAACAUAUUGUGAUACAUUAUUAGAGCAACUUCAAUGAGGCGACCUAUUUCGUCCGCCCGCGUUCGUUUGGGUCGGCACGGACAAAAGUGGCGGCCCAACGCGCCGACUCAAACGGACGCGCGUCCGUUUUUCGUCCGUGGGCGACCCAUUCCAGGCUCAUUUUUUAGCCGGAUUUGCGUCGGUGCGGACACGAGAUGGACGCCCGCGCGCCUACUCCUUUUCCCGGACCCGCCUGUCGGUGCCAGCCACAACCAUUUCCCCCCAUUUUCCCAAAAACGCUCCCGCCAGCGCGCGCCCCCCGCCCCCAACCAGCGAUGAAGGACGCCAUCGACCUCGACCUCGACGCCGCCGGCGGCCUCGCCUCCUUCACCUCGUCCGGCGCCGUCGCCCCCUCCGGGAAAGGCAAGCCUCGUGCCCGCGCAAGACCGCCGCGGCGAUCAAGCCGAAGAAGGCGCUGACGCCCGAACAACGGGCAAGGAAGUCGGCCAAGAGGAAGGGCCGGAGGCACGCCGCAGACGCGAGGGAUGAGGCCGCUGCCGCCGCCGUGCAGCAGGAGUUCACCCACGCCCGCGUCGCGCUGCAACGAGGGAGGCGCUUUACAUGCUUGGGGUAAACCCUAGGCAGCACCACCUCGUCCAAGCCGUCGUCGCCGCGGCCAGCACCGGCUCGUCGGCAUUUCCUCGGAUGGUGAUGCCCGACUCACCCCGCGCAUCGGCUUGCAACCCGGUCCCCGGCUUCCACGUCUACCCGCAGGCCUCCCGCCUCUCCGGGGAGUGCUCACCCGACGUGAGCGUGGUCGCGCCUUCCACACCCGCGCCCACGCCCAUCGACCUCAACGCCAUCCCGGUGGUCGGUGGCUCGUCGUUCGGCGGCGCGAGGAAACGCACGCGACAGACGCCGGCCGGCGGUCUCCCGGACGCCCGCAACCUGUUCGAGGAAAUGCCGUCCGUCGUCGACGAGGACUACAUGCAACACCUCAUCUUCGAGGGUGGUGCGCCGGGCGCUGGCUACGAUCCCGAGGAGACGCAAAGCCAGGACGGCCGCGGGGCGUUCACGCCGGCCGCUGGCUAUGAUCCCGUUCAGGCGGCCUUCAUGCGUGAUCAGGUCGGCGUCGACCUGGACGGCUUCCCCCUCGACCAUGAGUUCCCGGACGACUAUGGGCUAGAGGAAAAGGACGAGUGCGACAUCGAAGUGGAGCCUUUGUUCGACGAGCUCGCCAACCAAGCCGCCGGGCCGAAGCCGAAGUGCAAGAGCAAACACACGAAGGCGUACACAGCUGCCGAGGACAAGCUUCUAUGCGAGUGUUGGCGAGACAUUGGACAAGACCCAAAGACGGGCGCCGAGCAAAAGCAUUCAACCUUUUGGACUGGUGUGCACCACGAGUUUCAUGAGCGCAAGAAGUUUCCACCCUACCAUUUGUGAGCACGCGCGGGUGGGUCUCCAUUUCCAAGCGGUGGAGGGUAAUCCAACUAGAGUGCAACAAGUUUUGUUCCACCCUUGAGAGCGUCAAGACUCGCCCCGUGAGCGGCAUCGGCGUGCAAGACAUGGUAUGAUAGCAAGCAAGUCGGCCUCUUUUGUGCCAUCAAGAUCAUUUUUUUACGUCUUCAUUUGCUAUCACUUGCCCAUAUGCUUGCAUGGAAACAUUUUGUAGGCAUUUCAAGCUUUGGAGGCAUUCAAGGUUCAACACAAUGGCAAGUGCUUCAACCUCUCCCAUUGCUAUCGUGUCAUCAAGGACGAAGAGAAGUUCAAGGCACAAUAUGCCGCGCUCAAGGCACGUGGGGGGAAGGGCGCCGUGGAGGAUGUUGGGGAGGGCGAGCCGGCACGACCGCGGGGGAAGACCAACUCCAAGAAGGAGGACAAGCGAGAUGCGGCCACCAACGCCUUGAUCGCAAGCGUGGACGGCAUGAUGAAUAAGAAGGACUCAAGGGAGGAGGAGUGCCGGCGUUUCAAAGAAGAGCAAAUGAGCGCUUUCAUGGAGAUCCAAAGGAGGAGGCUUGAGCUUCACGCCGAGAAGCAAGCCAAGAUGUUCGAGCUCGAGGCCGAGAAGCAAGCGAAGAUGCUAGAGAUCGAGGCCGCCAACGCCAAGACAAAGGCGAAAGAAGUGGCUCUUGCAAGCAUGAUGACCGGGGUGGAGAUCAUGAAGGUGGAUCUCAACGCCUUGUCGCCAAGGAAAAGGCCGUGGUUCGAGAAGAUGCAGGCCGACAUGCUCAAGUUUCAGGACGACUGAUCUUGGCGUCGAGGGCCAUCUUUUUGUAUGCCGGCAGGUGUGCCGGCAUGACCACGGGAGCCGCGGUGGCGUGGUCGAACUCCAAGUCCCACCAUUUUUUGCAUGCUGGCAUGUGUGCCGGCCGGCUGGCGAGCGAGUGCGCCAGCAGGAGCUAUGGUAUUUUCUAAAACCGACAUUGUAUGCCGGUGCUGGCAUAGUGCCGGCAUGAGACAUGGCCGCUGGCAUGAUCGGCCGCGAGCCUUUUUUAAUUCAAAAGUUGAAUGUGGACAUGAAAUGGGUCGGCGCGUUGGGCACAUUGCCGACCCAAAUAUAAAACUGGGCGGACGCCGAACAGGCGGCUGACCCAAAUGGACAAAAAGCGGACAAAUACGCCGUCUAUUUGGAUCGCCCCAUUGGAGUUGCUCUUAGCAUCUGGCACCACCGGUCGGGUAAGAAUAUACCGUCAGCAUCUGUAACCCUUCAACCAUGAAACAUUCUUUCCGUCCACCAUGUGCAGUAUACUUUCAGUUGACGACCAGUUCGUUUUGUAAUGGUAGGCGGCUAACCAGCUAAUCAAGGGGGAAGAAGGGGGGUCACUGCUUAUAGUGCGCUGUAACCUGCCACGGCAAGCAACGGACAUGUUAUCGGCCAAUCCCAAGACGUCAUCUGAAAGCAAAAGUCGUCCGUCCAAAUUCCUACCCCGGACGAAACUUUCAGCAGCUGCUAUACCUAAGAAGCCACAGCCAUUAGAAAACGUGUAUAUCGCCAAAUCGCAACAUCAUCGAACCGUAAAAUAACCCAGAGGCAAGGCGUCGCACGCAAAAGACUCGGGCUUCGCUCGCGAUGUGUUGAUGUGAUGUGACGACAGAUAACGCUGUGUAUUAGGAUAGGAUUGAAUUUGCCAUUAGCGUUGGUUGUGAGAAGGCGACACGUGCGUAUUUUAGCCUAUUUUAGGAGAUCAUUCAUUGGAAAAAAAUAGCAUGCAACUGACGGUCUUGAUCGACGCAGAAAUGCUAUGUAUGUGAUCUGCGCCGUCCGCCUGAAUUGAUGACCUUCUAUUUCUUUCCCUCCAAUUGGCGUGCAAGGUGCAAGUGCAACUACUACUAAUUGCUUACCAUUUCAAUCCGCGUGGGACACCCUAAAAAAAAAA